GAAAGCAAUAUGAUUGUGAGCUGAAUUGAA
rnacentral:piRNA from 1 species